UACGGGGGGGGCAAGCGUUGUUCGGAAUUACUGGGCGUAAAGGGCUCGUAGGCGGCCAACUAAGUCAGACGUGAAAUCCCUCAGCUUAACUGGGGAACUGCGUCUGAUACUGGAUGGCUUGAGUUUGGGAGAGGGAUGCGGAAUUCCAGGUGUAGCGGUGAAAUGCGUAGAUAUCUGGAGGAACACCGGUGGCGAAGGCGGCAUCCUGGACCGACACUGACACUGAUGAGCGAAAGCCAGGGGAGCAAACGGG
rnacentral:rRNA from 1 species